UUAAGUAACGUAACGGAAUACGUUACAGAUUACAUUUUUGGGCAUGUAUUCUGUAUUCUGUAACGGAAUACGUUUUGAAAGUAACCCUCCCAACACUGCGUGUAUCAACUGUCAGA